rnacentral:rRNA from 1 species
UCCGGAGGGUGCGAGCGUUGUCCGGAAUCACUGGGCGGAAAGGGCGCGUAGGUGGCGUCGCAAGUCAACGGUGAAAGCUCGACGCUCAACGUCGAGUCGGCCGUCGAGACUGCGAGGCUUGAGCACUGUAGAGGCAGAUGGAAUUCCGGGUGUAGCGGUGGAAUGCGUAGAGAUCCGGAAGAACACCGGUGGCGAAGGCGGUCUGCUGGGCAGUUGCUGACACUGAGGCGCGACAGCGUGGGGAGCAAACAGG